UUCAUAUACUACCGUCACACAAUCAUAAAUGACUGCUAUUCUUGGUAUAUAAAAGAAGUUUACUACCCAGAGGGCAUUCAUCCUUCACGCGGGAUGGCUGGAUCAGAGUUUCCUCCAUUGUCCAAUAUUCCUU
rnacentral:rRNA from 1 species